rnacentral:tRNA from 1 species
GGGCCGUUAGCUUAGUUGGUAGAGCGCUGCAUUCGCAUUGCAGAGAUCAGGAGUUCGACUCUCCUACGGUCCACCA